GAAGGGUUCCGACGGCCGCCGGGCUGCCCAGAGUUUGAGGGUCUGGGUCUUUGCACCCCACGAGUUCGCAGGGGAGGACGGUCAAAGGAAUCAAGCGUCUCCCUUGACUCCCCUUCUCUCGCCUUGCAGUCGCGAGGCCGAGGGGCCGUCGCUCAGGGGUAAUCUCUAUCAGUCACCCUCGAGGCCCCGGGUAAUUUUUAGGGAUCUCCACCCCUGCAGUUUUAUCCAUGGACCAAGGAUCUGCAGACCCCAUGUUAAGAAUACCUGGAUAUACAGAAUCUACACAGAACUAAAGCGGAUUUACAAGAAAAAAACCAAACCCAUUCAAAAAUGGACGAAGGAUAUGAACAGACACUUUUCAGAAGAAGACAUUUAUGAGGCCAACAAACAU